UACGAAGGGGGCGAGCGUUGUUCGGAUUUACUGGGCGUAAAGGGCGCGUAGGCGGCGGGUCAAGUCGAGUGUGAAAGCCCCGGGCUCAACCUGGGAGGUGCGCUCGAGACUGGUCUGCUAGAGUUCGGGAGAGGAGCGUGGAAUUCCCAGUGUAGAGGUGAAAUUCGUAGAUAUUGGGAAGAACACCGGUGGCGAAGGCGGCGCGCUGGACCACUACUGACGCUGAGGAACGAAAGCUAGGGGAGCAAACGGG
rnacentral:rRNA from 1 species